AUCAACAUUUUUGAAAAAUGUCUGUCCAGCCUGCCGUUUGAUUAAGAUGUUGACAAGUCAAGAUAUGUUUAUAUGAUCGUGGUGUGCUCUCGCGGUGCCGCGGAGUUCAACAUAUCUUUUAAGAGGUCGUAAAACCCAGUUCCGUGUUGAGAAGCCGUGACUCGAGAAGAGUAUCGGUUACGUUCAUCUUCGAGCUGGUUUUUAAAAUGCGGUGAGGACGGUCACUAUGGUGGUUUUAAAGGGUAAAAUUCCAGUAUACUAUCCCGGGCCGAAUCCAGAGUCAUUUCAUGAUUUUCAUCACAUUAAAAAUAAAAUGAAUCAUCGAUAGCUGAUCUAAUGCAGGGUCGUUUGAUUGUUUGUAUUAGACGUGAAUUAUAAAAAAGAUCUUAACGAAUAUUUUAUCAUUGAAUGCGGUCCUAAUUAUAACGAGUAUGUUGAAUGUAACAGAUGAUUUUCCACAAUAAACAAUUGAGAGCGCUAUAAUCGAAAAAAUUCGCCUCUUUUUCGAUUUAUCGGCUUAUAUCUUGGAACUGAACGAAUAUGGAGACUAAUGUUUCGUACAGAAUGAGGUAUGUUUUGUCAAGAUGGCACCAUUGAUUGAACUGCAAAAAAUUAAAAUGUGUGAUGUUUUUCAGACAAGGAAAUCUCGGUGAAAAAUGUGUAGAUACCAUUGAAAAUUAUAAGUAAGGUAACUCUAGUAUUCCCAAACAAGUACCACCAAGUUUUGCCUCGUCGGUUGAAAAUUUUUUAUAUUAUUAAAUUAUUAAAUAAAAUAUUGAACGCUUUCUGUAGGCUGCCAUAGGCAAGCAACAUCGUUACUUCCGGUUGUAAUGACUCCUUCGUGACUUAGAUAUUAAUAAAAAAUUUAAAUAUUUAAUAAAAAUUGAAACAGAAAUUGCCUUAUAAGUUGUAAAUGGAAUAACUUUUGAAAUAAUUACUUAACAAGAAUGGCAGUUUUGUAUUGAAAAAUGCUUAUAUUUGUGUGAAGUUAGACAAAAUUUUGCCUUGCGUUGAUGUGAAGUCGAAAUACAAUCGUUUUUUCCUUCUAAAUUCAUGUCUCAAAGGCACUUCAAUAUUAAAAGCUGAAAUUUACAGGAGGCGCAGAAAAAAGUUUAAAGUUUAUGAUACAUACAAUUUGAAAUGAAUUAAGCAAACUGUCUUGUGAGAACAGAAACUGAAAGUUGAUGCAAAUACACGAUGUCUAUUAUCAUAAAAUUUCUACAUAUGAAGAAACGUGAUUUCUUCCAGUUCUAAAACAGGCUAAUUUAUUUAUUAUUAAGAGAAGUGAAAGAGGUUGGGAAAAUAAAAAAGUCAACAAUCACACGGAAUUUCCAAGUGAUCACCCAUAUAAGUAUUCUCUGUACCCAGUGUUGCUUAAAACUUUUGUAAUCGAACGAGAAUGUGUGUACUCGCGGUAUGAACGUUGACUGGAAUAAUUAGUUUUGUUAUUUGAUAUGAAUGUACAGAAGAAUAGUUAAAAAAACGUGUAAAUAUUUGUGAAGAUGAACAGUAUUUGUAUACGUGCAUUCAGAUGUGUAAAAUUUUGCUUCACUUCAUUUUCAAGAAAAUGGACUACGAAGCCGUGCACUUCAGAUGUAAUGAGAGUCAAGUAGACGGAACUUCAUAAUUGAUUUUAUCGAAAAUAAAAUCCUGUAUUAAAAAUUGUCAUUUUACAUUUUCGACGUGUGUUGCACAGGAAACCAUCCCCUUUUGGUUCGUACUAUCAAAUACAGUAUCUAACUCCGAAGAAACCUGUUCAAUUGAUCGUCAUUGCCUCUCAAGUGUACUUGACAAAACAACACAGUCAAUUUUUUGGAAAACAAAGUCUAGUAUAAAAAAUUAUCACUUUACAUUUCCAACUUGCUUUUGCAUGAAGAAUACUGUUUGGCCUGUACCACGAUUUUCGGAAUACCCUGCAUAAAUACUAAAAAUACAAAACAAAUUUUUCAUAGAGACAUCGUUGUCUGAAAAUGUUGCAUAUUUUAAUUUUUAAAGCCAAUUUUCAGCUCAACCAGUGGUGCCGUCUUAACUAAACAUAUCUAAUUUUGUUGUUUCAUCAUCUACAACUUUCACACGAAACAUUAUUCUCCAUAUCCGCUCAGUUCCAAGAUAUAAACCGGUCUGAAACCUCUUUUCCACUUGCGACUAAUGGCCUGACUCGCCAAGUAAUGCGACUGAGCCAUGUGCGACGCCGAAAUUACUGAUAGACAAUCUAUAAAUACAUUAUUGAGAAAUAUAUAAACGAGGCGUAAAUUGAGUAAGGUACCAUUCUAAAAUUAUCGAAGGUAUCAAAAUGAAAUUUGUCGCAAAGUAAUUAAGUUGAUCAAAACCGUAUAGCAGAAUAGAAAAGUAAUGAAUAUGAGAAAAGAUCACAAUGCAUCAUGACCUAAAUGUUUAAUUAGCCAUACGUAUAAGAUUUUUGAUUAUGGGAAUACUGUUCCAAAUGGAUUCUUAUACCAUCUUUGGCACGCAGCUAGCCUCGCUGCGUGAUGGUGAAAUUUGUGACCCGGUAUUUGCUAUUGAGACAAGGAAAAGCGAAAACAGAAAAUUUGGAAAUACAUGUUUUUUGUGGAAAUUACUGCACUGUUGUUUGAAUUUUGCUAUCUAAAUAGUAGAAGAUUAAAUCUUUCUCUAAAAAAUAAUCAAUCAUCUUUGACCGUCUUAUAAAUCUCGUAUCACUUUGAACUUUUGCGAAUGUGUGUGAGAAUUGUUCGGGAAUCGAACAAAGUUCAACUUUUUAUUCUUUUUAAUGUAACCAUAAAUUGUUUAACAUAUUAAUCAAUCUACCAUUCCUUAUAAGAAGUUAUUAAUCUAUG
rnacentral:lncRNA from 1 species